CGAACGCUGGCGGCGUGCUUAACACAUGCAAGUCGAACGGUGAAGCGCCUUCCUUUUUGGUGGGUGUGGAUGAGUGGCGAACGGGUGAGUAACACGUGAGUAACCUGCCCCCUUCUUCUGGAUAACCGCAUGAAAGUGUGGCUAAUACGGGAUAUUCUGGGUCUGUCGCAUGAUGGGUCUGGGAAAGAUAUUGUUUCGGUGGGGGAUGGGCUCGCGGCCUAUCAGCUUGUUGGUGGGGUGAUGGCCUACCAAGGCGGUGACGGGUAGCCGGCCUGGGAGGGUGGACGGUCACACUGGGACUGAGGCACGGCCCAGACUCCUACGGGAGGCAGCAGUGGGGAAUAUUGCACAAUGGGCGCAAGCCUGAUGCAGCGACGCCGCGUGAGGGAUGGAGGCCUUCGGGUUGUGAACCUCUUUCGCCAGUGAAGCAGGCCUGCCUCGUUUGUGGGUGGGUUGACGGUAGCUGGAUAAGAAGCGCCGGCUAACUACGUG
rnacentral:rRNA from 1 species